rnacentral:rRNA from 1 species
UACAGAGGUGGCAAGCGUUGUUCGGAAUCACUGGGCUUAAAGGGCGCGUAGGCGGUCGAAAGGGUGUCUUGUGAAAUCCCCCGGCUCAACCGGGGAACUGCGAGGCAAACCGUUCGACUUGAGGCAGUUAGAGGUCGAUGGAACUCUGGGUGGAGCGGUGAAAUGCGUAGAUAUCCAGGGGAACGCCAAUGGUGAAAACAGUCGACUGGGCCUGUCCUGACGCUGAGGCGCGAAAGCCAGGGGAGCAAACGGG